rnacentral:rRNA from 1 species
GAAAUCAAAAGAGAUUCCUCUAGUAACGGCGAGUGAACGGGGAGAAGCUCAGCGUGUAGCCUCGGGGAUGCCCUCCAAGUGAGUGUGUUAAUCCUACGAUGGGAUGCCACGUAUGGGAGAAUGCUAGAAGAGUCUGCGACCCGGCAAUCCGAACUGUUUGAUGAAACAUUGCCCAUAGAGGGUGUAAGGCCCGUAGGACCGUUGUUGUCGUGACUUUUCGCGGUAUUCUCUCGAGAGUCGGGUUGUUUGAGAAUACAGCCUUAAGAGGUGGGAAACUCCAUCUAAAGCUAAAUAUUACUGCGAGACCGAUAGAGAACAAGUACCGUGAGGGAAAGUUGAAAAGGACUCUGAAGAGAGGGUUCAAGAGAGCGUGAAACUGCUACGGGGAUAAAGCGGAUACAUUAGCGUAGUCGAAAAGGGAGAUACAACUCGUUCGCCGUCGACCUCUGUCGAACGUCUCGAUAAAAGCGUCCGGGGUCGUAUGUGUUUUCGGAUACGUACGACUCCAAGCUUGCGUCGUGAUCUCGACGGAUUUGCGUACGUUCACGAACGAGUCUAAUUCACACCUGAGUAGGCCGCCGCGACGGUUGGAAAGUUGUCUAAGGCUUAGAUCGUUGGGAACCUUUCGUUUUCGAUUCGUUAUUCGUAACGAAAUUCGUUGGACGAAGGGGGACUCGAUUUUCGAAUUUACUGGCGGACUUUCCGACCGGAGAAAUAAACGUACUGUUCCUCUUAUUAGGGAACCUAUACGUGAGUGCGGCGCACAAAGCGACCAAUUUAUCCGUCCCGUCUUGAAACACGGACCAAGGAGUCUAACAUGUACGCGAGUUAAAGGGUCUACUAAACCCCUAGGCGUAAUGAAAGUGAAUUUUUUUUAAAAAAUAAGGAUUGAUCCGUUGCUCUCUUCGCGAGACCGGCGCAAAUCCGGGACCCGUCUACUGCUUCUUCUUCGGUCGAAGUUCACGUGGCGGGUACCUAGAGCGUACACGUUGGUACCCGAAAGAUGGUGAUCUAUGCUUGGCCGGGAUGAAGCCAGAGGA